rnacentral:rRNA from 1 species
CUGCCCUAUCAACUUUCAAUCGUAGUGUAGGGGACUACGAUGGUCGUAACGGGUACGGGGAAUUAGGGUUCGAUUCCGGAGAGUUAGCCUUAAAAAUAGCUAACAUUACCAAGGUAAGCAGCAGGCGCGUAAAUUAUCCAAUCCCAAUUCGGGGAGAUAGUGACGAGAAAUAUCGAUGUGGGGCCUUACGGGUUUCACGAUCGAAAUGAGUACAAUUUAAAAACCUUAACGAAUGCAAUUGGAGGGCAAGUCUGGUGCCAGCAGCCGCGGUAAUUCCAGCUCCAAGAGCGUAUAUUAAAGUUGUUGCGGUUAAAAAGCUCGUAGUUGGACCGUGGGGCGACGCGCGAUUUAAACUUCGCGGGGUCGCGGCUUUCGGGUCGCGGUUUCGCGGGGGCGCGCGUUCGUCUCGUUUUUUGCGUCGCUAAACGGCGUCGGAGGGCGUCUCUCGUCGGAGGCGAAAUCGUUUUUCGACGGGUUGCGCCCUUUUUCGUCGGAUUGCAAGAUUUUACUUUGAAUAAAUUAGAGCGUUCAAAGCAGGCGAAAUCGUCUUGAAUACGUUAGCAUGGGAUAAUAGAAUAGGACCGUAAGAAUUUUUUUCGGUUUAACGUUUACUGGUUUCUAAAGCCGAGGUAAUGAUUAAUAGGGACAGUUGGGGUCGCUCGUACUCGGCGGUCAGAGGUGAAAUUCUAAGACCCGCCGAAGACGAACAAGUGCGAAGGCAUUCGACAAGGAUGUUUUCUUUAAUCAAGAACGAAAGUUAUGGGAUCGAAGAUGAUCAGAUACCGUCGUAGUCAUAACCGUAAACUAUGUUGACUCGGGGUCCGAAGAAGUUACAUGGAUGACUCUUCGGGCACCGUGUGCGAAAGCACAAGUAUUCGAACUCCGGGGGGAGUAUGGUCGCAAGGCUGAAACUUAAAGGAAUUGACGGAAGGGCACCACCAGGUGUGGAAUCUGCGGCUUAAUUUGACCCAACACGGGGAAACUUACCCAGUCCGGACGCUACGAGGAUUGACAGAUUGAUAGUUCUUUCUUGAUUUUGUGGAAGCCGGUGCAUGGCCGUUUUUAGUUGGUGGAGUGAUUUGUCUGGUUAAGUCCGAUAACGAACGAGACCUAAUUUUGUUAAAUAGUACUGCCAACAAGGGGGUCGCCGGUCGUUUCGGUCGCGGGUUUUCGCCCGCGCUCGUGCGAUCGGGGCCUCCGCUCGUUUGUUGGUAGCUAGAUUUACUUCUUAGAGAGACUCUUGGUCGAUAACAGCAGCCAAUGGAAGCUUUAGGCAAAAACAGGUCUGUGAUGCCGCCAGAUGUCUGGGGCUGCACGCGCGUUAUACUGACGUGUUCAACGAGUAUUUUAGAAUUACCUGGCCCGAGGGGGUUUCCGGCAAUCUCUAAAAGCACGUCGUGAUGGGGAUCGUGCCUUGUAACUAUUGCACGUGAACGAGGAAUACCUAGUAAGGGCAAGUCAUCAACUUGCCCUGACUACGUCCCUGCCCUUUGUACACACCGCCCGUCGCUUCUACCGAUCGAACUACUCGAUGAGGACUCGGGAUGCGGAGCGAUGUCUCGGUUCUGCCGAGCGCGUUUCGCAGAACCUGUUCGAAUCUCGCAGUUUAGAGGAAGAAGAAGUCGUAACAAGGUC